AGUAGCGAAGAGAAGAAACGCGCUGUUGUUAACUCGGCUAUAAUCGCGUAAGCGAUCUAAGAAGAAGAAGAAGCUAUCACAACUGAUUAUCGUUCUAAGUUGUAAAAGUAAUAACAUUCCAAGGAUCGACUUUUUAACCUAAUCUAACCUAACAGUGCGUCCGCAACAAAUGUUUAGCAGAUCGGAAACGAUAAAGGACUUGUAGAGUUCGGCCUUUGUUCAUCUAGAGAGGACUUCACUUCUUAGUUGUCUACUUACCUUGGAAUAUGAGUAUAAAUACAGAGCACUUAUAGAGCUUUUUUUCAUUGAUUUUAUCACUCACCAUUUACCUGAGCACUUAACCUUUAAACAUAAUACAAAACGCAAAAAAAGUAUUUAUAAUUUCGGAAUCGGACUUUAUUUUGUCCUCUGUAAUUACAACAGUUGUGAAUUAAAUGUUUCAACAUUUAUUCGGAUGAAGCUGCGACAGGCGCUGUGUUACCAGUUCAAGAACUAAAACGAGCCUCUGUGUUAUCUCACGAUGAGCGGCAGGAGUAGAUCAUUAUUUAUGACUUUGAAACUGGGCGAUGACUGCGAUCUGAAGGUAAGCAGUAGUCCCGCCCUCUUAAUGGUUAAAUGCACAUAUCUAUCAAACCUCUACAGCUACCUCAACAAAAACUGCAGGGAAUAUGUAUAUUUAGAAUUUUUUUAUACACUCAGUAAAUCAAAUUUUGUGUCGAAGUGUCAAGGCGCGACAAGCAAGCUUACUUUCCAUGUAACAAAUUUUUAAACUCUAUCUAAAUAUACACUACAAACAGCAAUUAUAAAUCAUGGUACCAGAAUACACACGAAAUGGAACAGGUGAGUUUCAUCAAAUCAUCAUGUUCGAUGGACGUGGCACCGCUCAUUUUAAUGUCAAACUCCGUAUCUCAGGAUCUACUCAACCAAAUUCGGUAUAUAGUAAUAUUAGCAGCUCGUCCCGGCUUCGCACGGCAUUUCCAUAUUGGCAUGUAAAAAUAAUUAUGAUAUGAGUAUAAUUUUGUAUGAAUGCAUGCAUAGUACUAUUUACAAUCAAUUUGGCAUUGAAUAUUUAAUAAUUUUAUUUGGUUUUUAUAUAAUAUACUAUACUAAUAGUAGUAAUAGAAAUUGAAUUUAU